CGACGACGACGAAGAUCGAUCGAACGAGAAGGAUUCAUCUGGAGAAGAAGAACAAGUAACAGAGAGAAGGACUGAGACGACGAACGAUUCACGCUUGGAAUCCAAACGAAGAACGCUAAGGAGAUCGAAACGCCGAUCAAUAAGGUCUCUAACCAAG